rnacentral:rRNA from 1 species
GACGAACGCUGGCGGCGUGCUUAACACAUGCAAGUCGAACGGAAAGGCCCUGCUUUUGUGGGGUGCUCGAGUGGCGAACGGGUGAGUAACACGUGAGUAACCUGCCCUUGACUUUGGGAUAACUUCAGGAAACUGGGGCUCAUACCGGAUAGGAGCUCCUGCUGCAUGGUGGGGGUUGGAAAGUUUCGGCGGUUGGGGAUGGACUCGCGGCUUAUCAGCUUGUUGGUGGGGUAGUGGCUUACCAAGGCUUUGACGGGUAGCCGGCCUGAGAGGGUGACCGGCGACAUUGGGACUGAGAGACGGACCAGACGCCUACGGGAGGCAGCGGUGGGGAGUAUUGCACAAUGGGCGGAAGCCUGAUGCAGCAACGCCGCGUGCGGGAUGACGGCCUUCGGGUUGUAAACCGCUUUCGCCUGUGACGAAGCGUGAGUGACGGUAAUGGGUAAAGAAGCACCGGCUAACUACGUG